rnacentral:rRNA from 1 species
GAAUAUUGGACAAUGGACGAAAGUCUGAUCCAGCCAUGCCGCGUGCAGGAAGAAUGCCCUCUGGGUUGUAAACUGCUUUUAUAUGGGAAUAAACCCUCCGACGUGUCGGAGGCUGAAUGUACCAUAUGAAUAAGCACCGGCUAACUCCGUGCCCGCAGCCGCGGUAAUACGGAGGGUGCAAGCGUUAUCCGGAUUUAUUGGGUUUAAAGGGUCCGUAGGUGGGACUGUAAGUCAGUGGUGAAAUCUUUCGGCUUAACCGGAAAACUGCCAUUGAUACUGCAGUCCUUGAGUAUGCUCGAUGUAGGCGGAAUAUGUCAUGUAGCGGUGAAAUGCAUAGAUAUGACAUAGAACACCGAUAGCGAAGGCAGCUUACAAGCGCAUAACUGACACUGAGGGACGAAAGCGUGGGGAGCGAACAGG